CAAAAACAUAGCUGUGUGAAUUAACUCUCAGUUUUUUCUGCUCAAUGAGUCAUUAAAUAGCCGCAGUACCCUGACUGUGCAAAGGUAGCGUAAUCAGUUGUCUUCUAAUUAAAGUCUCGUAUGAAAGAAUAUAUGGGGGCCCACUUUACCAGUGACAGAAGAAGAACUUAACAAGCGAGUGCAAAUGCUCGCAGUACAUAAAAGACGAGAAGACCCUAGAAAUUUUCACUAUCCUUUUUGUUGGGGCAACAUAGUAUCAAGUAAUUUACUAUAUGUAUAUGAAAUAAGUUAGUUAGCACAAAUUACUCUAGGGAUAACAGCAUAAUUUAUAUAAAGUUUGUGACCUCGAUGUUGGAUUAGGAAGUUAUAAUUUAAAAGGUGUUAAAUUUCGCUCUGUUCGAGCA
rnacentral:rRNA from 1 species